UACGUAGGGAGCAAGCGUUGUCCGGAAUCAUUGGGCGUAAAGCGCGCGUAGGCGGCCCUGUAAGUCCGCUGUGAAAGUCCAAGGCUCAACCUUUGAAAGCCGGUGGAUACUGCAGGGCUAGAGUCCGGAAGAGGCGAGUGGAAUUCCUGGUGUAGCGGUGGAAUGCGCAGAUAUCAGGAGGAACACCAAUAGCGAAGGCAGCUCGCUGGGACGGUACUGACGCUAAGGCGCGAAAGCGUGGGGAGCGAACAGG
rnacentral:rRNA from 1 species